UACGGAGGGUGCAAGCGUUAUCCGGAUUCACUGGGUUUAAAGGGUGCGUAGGCGGACAGGUAAGUCAGUGGUGAAAUCUCCGAGCUUAACUCGGAAACUGCCGUUGAUACUAUUUGUCUUGAAUACUGUGGAGGUAAGCGGAAUAUGUCAUGUAGCGGUGAAAUGCUUAGAUAUGACAUAGAACACCAAUUGCGAAGGCAGCUUACUACACAGCGAUUGACGCUGAGGCACGAAAGCGUGGGGAUCAAACAGG
rnacentral:rRNA from 1 species